rnacentral:lncRNA from 1 species
GAAAAAGCAUCAAUCGGGCGAGCAGGACUGCGCCAGACAAGUUUCUUGAGGCUACUCGCCAAAUUCAAGACUCACCAAGGUUGGGUUUUACAUUCUCUGUAGCUCUUGAGCAACUUUUAUGUGAGAAAGGAAGCUUUGCUUGCUUUCCAAAUUGACAUGCAUCUCAUCAGCUUUUUCACAGAUAAUUGGUGGAUUUUUCACAAGUUUAUUUGUAUAUAUAUAUCUCAAGGUUGAAUUAUUUAUAAUUCCCAAUUCCUUUAUGCCAUAAGAUAUAAUCAUCCACUACACUAGCAUAAGCAUUCAAAUAAAAUUGUUUCCAUUCUUUUGGAAAAAUUUUGUUCUUUAUUUUGACUAUCAUCAAUUGAAAACCAAUAGGGUAAAAAAUGAAACAUGAUAUAUCAUAAAAGUGAAAAUAAAAGUUUUUUUUUCUAAAAUUUGUCCUACAUUCAACAAGCUUUGCCUUACAUCAGGUACAAAUAAAACAUAAAAAAUAAACCUUGUACCCAAAGAAGUUUCGACUUCAAUCAUUCAUUUUCCUUUGACAUCUACAAGCUCUCCAUUUCCAAUCUUCACUUUGGAGAAAUAAGACUUGUCCAACUCCUUAAAAAGACUUGCAUCAUGAGUCAUAUUAUUGGUGUAUCCACUAUCCACUAGCCAUGUUUCUGUUCCACUAUUUGCAGCACAACAAGUAGCAAUGAAGAGAAUUUCUUCUUCUUGUUCGAGCUUUUUAGCAACUUGAGCGUGGCCUUUUUUAUUUGCUUUGUUUUUGCAAACCUGCUCCAUAUGUCUUAGUUUAUUACAAGCUCUACAUUUUAUCCCUGGUCUAAAUUAGAAAAACUUUUUAAUAUGAUUUCUUUUCUUGUAAUAAGAACAAGGUUAAUACCUUGUUCUUUUUUUCUUUCCUAAUUAUGGUCAUCCCCUUCUUUCUUCACUUUGUUUUUCCUUUCACCAGGUUGUUUUUUUAAAAAAUGUUGUUGCCAUGUUUGUCUUUAAGCUUAGUUUGAAAAGCUCCUUCUGUUGACUCCUCAAGUCUAAUAGCCAUUCUAUGUUCUAAAUCUUGAAGAGCAUUUACUAAUUCUAUCAAGUUAAGUUUUAAGGUGUCUUUCAAGUCUUCUAAAGAGGAAUUUUUUACUCAAAUGUCUUUGGAACACUGGCCAGCACCUUUUCAACUAUCCUCUUGUUUGACAACUACUUUUCAUGAAACCUAAUUUGGUUUACGAGCUUCAUAAGCUUUUUCAGAAUACUCUUUCAUCUGUAGAACCUCGAACCCUCUCUACAAAUUUAGCAUUUGAAUUUUAUUUAUUCUGUCACUUCGUUGGAACUCUUCCUUAAGCUUGUCCCAUGUUUCCUUUUCAGUUUUACAGGUCAUUAUCCUUGUGAAAAUCUCAUCUGUUACAGAAGAGUGAAUGGAAGAGAGAGCCUUGUAUUCCUUAGCACCCUUUCAUUGUGUUGCUUGAUUUGAGCAACAAUUGGAUUUUCUCUCAAGGGAUGCACAUCUCUACUUGUUUCUACAACAUCCCAUAGGUCAAAAUCCCAUCUUCACUGCCCAAAUAGGGUAGUUUUCUCUUAUAAAUACAGAAGGAUUUGGGGUUGUAAAGCUACUAGAGGCCAUGUCAAGUUUUAAGAAUUUUUUGGUGUAGAAGAAGAAGGUUUUUUUCUAGUUUUUUAGCUCACGCACAAUCCCUCAAUAUUUUUUAAGAACUGAUACCAUGUUAAGCUAUGGAAGAAAAUAACAUGAGAGAGUUGAAAUGAAAAGGAAAAGAAAACUAAGAAAAAUUUUAAAAUAAAAUAGUCAUUGUUCCAUUAAGAUUUUGGCGCAUAAUACACAAAAAGCUACUGUUGUUGUAGUUGUUAAUCAUAUCCCACAAAUUUAGCAAGUAUUACAUCAAUAAGAUUAUAUCACCUAAUCAAAUGAAAACAGGCAAAUUAGGUGCAUCAUGCUUGACUUCUUAUAACUACUUUGUCAAGCUACAAAAAACAACUGACGUAAUACUCUUAGAAUAUCUAAGAAAAAUCUCAGGUAUCUAAUAUAUAGCUUUUAAUAGUAAAGGUUGAGGAUCAUUAAGUUUGGUUGAGACAAAAUUAGAGCAUGUACUAUGACAUAAUAGUGGAGUUAACUCUAGAUAAUGCCCUACAUACAUUGUCUUAAAAUCGACCUGCCUAAACAAUUAUGAUAUUCUUGCUUUAUUCAUUAUGUUUCAUUUUAUUCCUUAUUACAAAAAAAAACCUACAACAAAAUUGCAACCACACUUUCCUCUUUUGGCAUGACAUCCUACCACUUAAAAUAAUUGAUAUGAUCAUGUGUUUUGUUAUUUGAAAUGGAAUCCAUGAAAGAAGGAAACUCAACUUCAUUCUGCCUUUAUUAGAGGAUUCCAACUUUGCUUACAAAAACAUUUGGAUGAGACUGUUCAUUAAAUCCAUUGAUGAAAAGGCAUAAAGGAUUAUCCUUACUGGUUAGGAGCCAUUAUCAUACUAAAAAUACAUAUUAGACAUGAUCUAUAAAAUUGGAGGCGUUGAAGGGCUAUAGAUUAAAUAAAUACAACAAAUUAAAACUUUUAAACUUUAAAUGAUAUUUUCAAUAGUGUUAAUUCUUAAAAAUUUAAACGCAUCUCUAAAUGUGUAUUUGCUAGAGAAGCUUAGAGGAUUCUCACAACAACUCAGGAUGGAACACAAUGAGUGGAAUCAUCAAAAUUAUUUAUACUUACAAUUCGAUUUGAAUGCCUAAUAAUGUUUGAAAAUAAAUUAUCAGAUGAAAUCUAUGUUAAUUAUUUGAUAUUAGUAAUAGGCUUUUUCUUUUUGUGAGGAAUAUUAUGAGGGGUAAUUGGUUUAAAAGGUACAUUAAAUUCACAACAAUAAAAGAGGAAAAAGACAUCAACACGAUGAAAGUGUAACACCCUAAAAUUGGGCCUAAGAGUUUUAGGGGUAUAGGAAUUUUAGCUCUAUAGUGCUCGAAAGACCUAGUAGCAUGGUGAACUGGAAAAAUAAUCGAAAAUGGCUUUUUGAUUGUUAAAUAAAUUUUUGAAAAUAAUGUUCCAAAGGCUUUCAAUUUUGAAUUAGAUACUAAUUUAUAAAAGGGUCAAAAUUCUGUGUGUUUAUCAAGCAAAUAAACCAAAAUUUAAAAUUCAGCCUAUAUCUCCCCCAUCUAGAUUAUUUUCAAGUUAACUUCUCCCUUUUAUUUGCUCUUGCUCUCUUAUGCUCUCCAAACUCCUCCCAUACAAUUUUCUUUGUCAAACCUCAAUUCCUUUUAUUCCUAUCACUUUCCAAAUACUUGAACCUCCAUAAAAUCCAAGAAAAACACCCAAAAACACCAUAGAUUCCUCCAUUGUGAAGCUUGUAGGCUUUUUGGGUUUUCGAUCAAACACUCAAUUUUUCAUUAACUAAGUUAACAAUUCAAUUCUUAAUUAGUUUUAAAUUAUAUCUGGUCUUUUAAACGAAACUUUUAGCCAUUAAAUCCUAUGUUUUAAAUAAAAGUAAAAAAUUGGGUCGUUAAUGGUGGAUUUUGGGAUUUUGGGUAAAAAUGUGGUUUCAAAGCAUUUUUCAACUUGCUUUAACAUGAUUAGAAGGUUUCUAAACUUACUUUAAAGUUUAGUUAAGGAUUUCUAAGGAUUUAAUGAAUUUUCGCGAAAAUAGUCAUAAACAUGUCAAAAAAUUUGAUACCAUGAAUUGAGUAGUUUUGUGUAAUUUAAAGGUUGAGAAUUAGUCGUAGGUGAAUAAUAAGAUGAACAUAAUUGGUUUUAGGCAAAAGGAGUAAGUAUAGAGGAAGAAAUUUGAGUUUCAAGUUUGUUAGUCGAAAUUUCAGUUUUAUGAUUGUGUAUAUUGUGUGGUUAUUAUUUGUAAAACAUCAGAAUUGUUGAAACCUUCUUCGAGCAAGGCUAAAGGCAAGAAAAAGUUAAUUUAAGCUUUUAGCUUUUCGGUGAAAGCGUAAUUAGUGAGUGUUCAAAAUUGCUGCUAGUAGAAACGAUUCAUAGUGUUAAUUGGGAGCUUAGGAAUAGCCUAAAUCCCUAUCCUAAGUUUUGAGUGUAAGCUUUCUAUUUCACUUGUUUUAUUUUUUGGUAAAUUAUAUGAUUUUGAGAAUAUUUAUGGAUUGAUUAUUAAGAUGUGAUAUUCUGAUAUGAGACAUGUGUGAUGACUAUUGUGAAUUUUAUUGUAUUGUGUUGUGGGAAUAUUAAAUAUGUCGAACAAUAGUGAUGAUGUUGUGCUAGCAUUAUAAAUGUCUAAUGAAAGUGUGCAAAAAUAGGUAAGUACGUAUGUGUUGAAUUAUGGAAAGUAAUGCUAAUGUAAUAGGUUAUUUAUGUUAUAAAUUGAUUUUAAUGCACUCAUAUGUGGUUGGAUACAUGAUGGAUCAAUGAGCAUUAUUGUGGCACUUUAAGUGCAAUUAAAUGUAAAUUUGAUAAGCAUGCAUUGUGUGUAAGUUUGUGAUGUGAAUUGAUGAAUAUGAAUAGAGAUAUGUGUAUUAAAUCAGUAAUUAAAAUUGCGUAAUUAUGGGUAUUUUGGCCUUAAGACCUUAUGAGACCGUUGGAUAUAGCUGACAUGCCAUGGGAUUGUAAGUACUUACCUAUAUGUGUUUUGUGAUUUGGUCGUUGAGGCCCUAGGACAUGUUGGAGAGAUAAGGGAAUGUGAGCUAAUCUCUAUUCAACGAGACAUGUUUAGUGUGUUGGAGAGUGUUAGCUUUAUGCUUCAUUUUUGGGAUAUGUUCGACUCUAUGAGCCAUUUGGUGUGUUGGAGAUCCGUGUAUCCGAUGUGUAGUGGUAGAGCCCACUUUCUCAAGUGUCAAGAUAUAUUAAAAUAUAUAUAUGUGUAAUUUGAUGUAUGCCGAAAUGAGUAUAUGGUUGCUAUGGAAAUUAUCAUUUAAAUGUGAUCUUAUUUAUUGUGGUAAUACGAUGUAAGAUGGAUGCUUAAACAUGUGAAUAAUAUGCUAAAUGAGUUGAUUUAAGUUUCAUGAAAAUUUUAGGAAGUUCUCACAAUAAAUUGCAUAUGUAAUUGUGGUUUGGAUCGUUUCCAUUUAACUUGUGAAUACAUGUGAAUAUAUCAGAUAGACUUGUGGGUUAUUAAAGCAUGUAUACACCAUUUAGCUUUGAUGAAUUAUUGUUAAAUGAAUUAUAUAUAAGUGAGUUAAGUGCAAUUGCAUGUAGGAGUAUAUGUUGGUUUUAUGACUUAAUGAAACAUGAAUAUGUUAUUUUGACUUGAAUAGAAUAUGGUUGUGAACGUGGUCUAGUAUACUCUUGUUUAACCUUUGAUAUUGUGUGUACAUUAUGGUUAUUCUGAGCAUUCACUGAGCUGUUUAAGCUCACCACUCCUUUUUAACCAUUGCAGAUAAGUAGUUCCGGUGUGAGCGGUGUGGUCUUGAGGGGUGAACCAAGCCAGAUACUUUAGUUGCUAUUAGAAGGUGUUAUUUGAUUAUUUUUGUUUUGGGAAUAAAAGGCAAUGUGAUUGAUGUUAUGUUGGCUUUGCUAUGAUUUUUAGUUUUUGCAUGCCUAUUAUACUUGGAAAUUG